UACAGAGGGUGCGAGCGUUAAUCGGAAUUAUUGGGCGUAAAGGGCGCGUAGGUGGUUCGGUAAGUUAUAUGUGAAAGCCCUGGGCUUAACCUGGGAACUGCAUGUAAUACUGCCAGACUAGAGUACAGUAGAGGGUAGUGGAAUUUCCGGUGUAGCGGUGAAAUGCGUAGAUAUCGGAAGGAACACCAGUGGCGAAGGCGGCUACCUGGACUGAUACUGACACUGAGGCGCGAGAGCGUGGGUAGCAAACAGG
rnacentral:rRNA from 1 species